rnacentral:rRNA from 1 species
AUUGAACGCUGGCGGCAGGCCUAACACAUGCAAGUCGAGCGGGGUUUUCGGACCUAGCGGCGGACGGGUGAGUAAUGCGUAGGAAGCUGCCCGAUAGAGGGGGAUACCAGUUGGAAACGACUGUUAAUACCGCAUAAUGUCUACGGACCAAAGUGUGGGACCUUCGGGCCACAUGCUAUCGGAUGCGCCUACGUGGGAUUAGCUAGUUGGUGAGGUAAUGGCUCACCAAGGCGACGAUCUCUAGCUGGUUUGGGAGGAUGAUCAGCCACACUGGAACUGGGACACGGUCCAGACUCCUACGGGAGGCAGCAGUGGGGAAUAUUGGACAAUGGGCGCAAGCCUGAUCCAGCCAUGCCGCGUGUGUGAAGAAGGCCUUCGGGUUGUAAAGCACUUUCAGCGAGGAGGAAGGGGUGUGUGUUAAUAGUACACACCUUUGACGUUACUCGCAGGAGAAGCACCGGCUAACUCUGUGCCAGCCGCCGCGGUAAAAC